UGGAACUUAGAAGUUCUUGAUGUUCUGGAUGUAACAGCAAUGUUUGAACACGAUGUUCAAACAAGCCGCCAGUGAGACAUGGAUGUCGAAUUGGCGGCGGUUGCGUACGGUACUAAUAAAUGAAUCAGAACAUCUAGUACUUCUUAGUU
rnacentral:ncRNA from 1 species